UCUCCGUUGGUGAACCAGCGGAGGGAUCAUUACAGAGUUGCAAAACUCCCUAAACCAUUGUGAACGUUACCUAAACCGUUGCUUCGGCGGGCGGCCCGGGUCCUUCCCGGCGCCCCCCGGCCCUCGCGGGCGCCCGCCGGAGGUAAACCAAACUAUUGCAUUAAUGGCCUCUCUGAGUCUUCUGUACUGAAUAAGUCAAAACUUUCAACAACGGAUCUCUUGGUUCUG
rnacentral:misc_RNA from 1 species